CUACACGCAAGUCUUUAGAUCUCAGCCCCAUACACAGAGAACUUGAAACUAGAGCAGUUGCAGAAGACCGGACCUGUUCGUCAUGGCACUCAAUUCAUUCUCAGCUUCAGGUACUCAAAACAACAUUGAAGAGCAGAAGGAUGAAGACCUGGAGCUACCAUUGUUUGACUAGUCAACAAUAGAGACUGCUACCAAUAAAUUUUCAAUUAAUAAUAAACUUGGAGAAGGUGGUUUUGGAUCUGUGUACGAGGGUACACUACUAGAUGGAAAAGAAAUUGCAGUGAAGUGGCUCUCAAGAAGUUAUGGACAAGGAAUGAAAGAGUUCAAAAAUGAAGUGAUACUGAUUGCAAAACUUCAGCACCGCAAUCUUGUAAAGCUUCUUCACAAGUUUCAUUUGCUCUUACUCUCUUAAUGAUGGGAACUAUUCGUGGACAAGGGGGAAAAUCUUAGUGAUAUUUCAUCUUCAACAACAAUGUAUUUUGGAAGGCAGCCUUGUUUUUUGUAAUCCAAGAAUUUACUUUGGUAUGAAAUGUAUUUUGCUUGGAAUGUAAAGAACAUCUUGCUAUGAAUGUAAAGUUUUAAUAUUUUUGAUUGAGUUGUGGAUUUGUUCACUUUA